GACGAACGCUGGCGGCGUGCCUAACACAUGCAAGUCGAACGGAGAUACGAUUUCGGUUGUAUCUUAGUGGCGAACGGGUGAGUAACGCGUGAACAACCUGACUCUAAGAGGGGGAUAACACUCGGAAACGGGUGCUAAUACCGCAUAAGACCACGACCCGGCAUCGGGAUGAGGUCAAAGGAGCAAUCCGCUGAGAGAGGGGUUCGCGUCCCAUUAGAUAGAUGGCGGGGUAACGGCCCACCAUGUCAACGAUGGGUAGCCGAGCUGAGAGGCUGAUCGGCCACACUGGAACUGAGACACGGUCCAGACUCCUACGGGAGGCAGCAGUGGGGAAUAUUGGGCAAUGGGCGCAAGCCUGACCCAGCAACGCCGCGUGAGGGAAGAAGGCUUUCGGGUUGUAAACCUCUGUCCUUGGUGACGAAACAAAUGGCGGUAGCCAAGGAGGAAGCCCCGGCUAACUACGUGCCAGCCGCCGCGGUAA
rnacentral:rRNA from 1 species